rnacentral:rRNA from 1 species
AGUGAACGCUGGCGGCAGGCCUAACACAUGCAAGUCGAACGGCAGCACAGUAAGAGCUUGCUCUUACGGGUGGCGAGUGGCGGACGGGUGAGGAAUACAUCGGAAUCUACUUUUUCGUGGGGGAUAACGUAGGGAAACUUACGCUAAUACCGCAUACGACCUACGGGUGAAAGCAGGGGAUCUUCGGACCUUGCGCGAUUGAAUGAGCCGAUGUCGGAUUAGCUAGUUGGCGGGGUAAAGGCCCACCAAGGCGACGAUCCGUAGCUGGUCUGAGAGGAUGAUCAGCCACACUGGAACUGAGACACGGUCCAGACUCCUACGGGAGGCAGCAGUGGGGAAUAUUGGACAAUGGGCGCAAGCCUGAUCCAGCCAUACCGCGUGGGUGAAGAAGGCCUUCGGGUUGUAAAGCCCUUUUGUUGGGAAAGAAAAGCAGCAGGUUAAUACCCCGCUGUUCUGACGGUAGCCAAAGAAUAAGCACCGGCUAACUUCGUG